rnacentral:lncRNA from 13 species
GAGCUGGGCUCAUGGGGAUACAGAGGCCGCUGCACUCUCCCUGUGGGUGACCCUGGUGGAAACCUGGGAGCUGAGGGAGAUUUUUCUGCAGGUGGCCUCAGGCCACACGUCAGAAAACAGACUCAGACCAUCAGCACUGAAAGAACUGAUGGAGCUCGGCCAGCCCAGUGUUUGCAGCCAUGCGGAUGAGACCCCCGCUGCUCGACUCUGGGAGAGGAGCGCUUUUGGCUGCCUGUGACAGACUGUCCCUGAAGUGCCAAAAUUGCGUAAGAGCUGAGGACAAAACCCAAAGAGGGUCGCUCCCCGAGUCACCCAACAUUCAGGCUUCACAUGCACGGGGGAAAAGUGUGGAAUCUUCUCAACGUGGUGCAGAGGUGUCAGCAAACUCAGAAUGUCCACGUCACAGCGAGGUUGUCUUUUAUUCCACUUUGCUGCCAAGGAUUUCAGCGGAACAAAACCAACCAGGACUGCAAACAGCACAACCGAGCGGAAAAGACUCAGUUAUCUUUAGCUUUCUUCAAGUGCUGUUUGGCAAGCUGCCGUUUUUGGAUUAUGUAUUUUCCACAAUAAGUCAAUAGAUAUUCCACACAAAAAAAUAGAAGCAAAAUUAGUUUGAAUGUUUUGUCAAAUUAUGCUUGAGCAUAGCUGUAUACUCACCCUGGCUUGGCAAUUAAUGUAUUUAUUAGCAUAUUUAAGGCACAAACUUUAAAUAAAAAACCUGCUUUACUUAAAAGCA